ensembl:lncRNA
GCUGUAGUUUGCAGGAUUUCUGCGGAGUGCCGAGUGCGCCUCGCUCCGUCUUAUUACCUCUGCUUUAGUUCUAAGUUUACCGAGUGGCGAUUUUUACGCGUAGAGCGUGGAGCGGCGCAGUUCGGAGUAGGAGAGAGGAGAAGAAGAAAAAAAGGCUUCAGCCGAUCAACUCAACAUGAGUCGCCCUCCGCACGGUUUUCCUCCUUCACUUGCGGGAAGCGUACACCUGACGCAUCACUCUCUCUUGCCGUGGAACUGAUCUUCCUCUCCAACAUAUCGACUCCCGCUGGGUUAUUUUCCACUUUGCGAAACGCCUGCACUCCUGCUACGGCAUGCUGUCAGAUUAACACUGUCCACCACCACCGUGGCCAACUACGAUCUUCAAGAGGCGAGUCAUUUGUAUUUAUUUUCUUUAUUUUGUUGCACAGUGUGAUUAUAACGUUAAUCGUGUUUUCCUGCUCAAUAUAUUCGCGGAACAUUAGUGGAUGUGGGUGUUUGUGUAACUGCUGGAGCCCGAACCUGCGUGUAGGAGAAGCGAGGUGUUGGUGGUGGUGGAGGAUGGUUAGCGUUUGUUUGGUUGGUGGUGUAAGACUGUGGAACUGCUGAUUUGCUCCAGGAAAGUGGACUUGGUGAUAUGCACUAUCUGAAGCACAGCAGCUUAGGUCCCCGAGAGCUCCAGCCUCGGGGCUGUUUCCCUCAUGAUGACAGCGCUACACCAUGUCCUUCUUCUGAAUGAGCCUGUGUGACAGCCAGGCAGAGCCGCCGCCUCCUCCUCCUCCUAAUCCUGUAUCUAUCGGACUUCUGAUGUAGAUGAAACUACAGUCUCUUAAUGUGCCAUCAGCAGGAGAGAGAGUCAAAUCAAUGGCAAGUAGGUUUGAUGUGUGAACUAUGCUCCAUUUACUUUAAAAUGCGUAAGAUUCACACAGUAGAGCUGCACUGGCAUUUGAUCAUCUGCCCUAAUCUCAGGGUCAAAAGUGAGUCUCAAGAUAUUUAAAAGGAAAAAAAAUGACUAUAUUUUUACUCACUUUUGCUUUAUGUUUUCUUUUUCUUGAUAUUUCUUCACUGCAUCAACCAAAGUACUCGAUGAAGUACUUGAAUAAUUCCAUUUUAGUACUUUACAUUUAAAUAUUGAGCUUUUUCCUUUCCUACAUUUAUUUGGUUGGCAAUUUGUGUGCAAAUUAAGCUUUUCCUACACAGUAAUACUAACAGCUUCUAUUGUGUGACGUGUUCCUGCAGGACAAACUGCCUAAAAGUAGAUAAAUGUGUUGAAUCCCAGCAGCAGGUAAAUGCUGCUUAGAUGAUGGGAGAUUAGUAAUAAAACACAGCACUAAACAAUAUGAUAUUAUGAAUGCACCCUUUUACUUUUGAAACUUCGUACUACAAGAUACUAUUUUUAAUAGUGUUACUUAUGUAACACUUGGAAAUAAGGACUUUAAAAUGAAUAAAUGUUAACAUUGCAGCAUUUUUAGUAGUGAAUUUCAGCUUUUUUAAUACUGCAAAAAUGAAAUACCAUAUACUGUAUAUUCACACUGACACUAUUCUGUAGGUUUGCACAUUGAAAAUAGUCACCACCAAAAAAAGGACUACUUAAAAUCAUCAAAUCCUCCUUUUUUGGGCUAAUGAGUCCUUAAAAAAGCAUUAUAACUGUAUAAGAAUAUAACAGUGUAAUAAAAUAUAGCAGUGCAUCACAUCAAGGAGGUUUUAAAAGAUGAAAUCUUUUUGUAAAUGUAGUAUGUUGUGAAAAGAGCCUUUAAUUCUCAGCUUUGGGAUACAUUUAUUUAAAAAAAAAAACACAAAAGUAAUGAGAAAAGCAAAGAAGGGAAAAUGGAUUUCCGCCUGUAGUCACUCGAUGGCCUUUGACCUCUUUGGAUUCGUCUGUUAAAUCCUUGACCUUUCAAAGUAAACAGAUUUAGUCAUAGAGAUUUGUACUCAGCACGUCUACUGUUGUCUUAAAGUCAGAUAGUGGAGAAAAAGGUUUCCUGUGUAAAAUAAAGAUAAACAGGGUUUAAACAUCCUUCACUGUAUAUAAAGACCAAAAAAGACUCAGUGUUCUCCCUGAAUGUGUUAUAUAGACACGGGGGAUGUUAGAGAAAAAACAUAAACUGUUGCUAACAGAGAUUUUCAAGACUUAUGUUUAAUGUUCCCUCAAAGAGUCGUAAUACAAAUGUUAAUAUUUUCAAACUGUGUGUGUAUGUGUGUGUGGGUGGCUUUAUGCAGCCUACUGGCAUUGCUGCUGUGCAUAAGGCGGUGUGAGCAAAGCUCAUCUAAACUGGCAACGUGUUUUAGGUCGAUUUUCGCAACAGCACGGAAGGAAAAGUGACCGUAAUACUCAUUAAUUCCCUCCGCUAAAAGGCCACGUUCUUUGUUGUGGUCAGCGUGGCGAUGCUCUAGCCAGGGGAAACGAUGAUGCUCUUCAAUGAGCUCCUGUCCUUCCACUGUGCAUGCUUGUCUUAUUCAAAUGAAGUAACUUGAUUUGAUAUCCACAGACAGAAACUCAAUGUGAGGCUCCCUCUGUCCUCUUGUUAUCUGAAAAUUAAAUUUCUCCCUCAUGGAUUGCAUUUCACGGUUCACCGACUCAUCCGCCAAUAAGGGCCGUAAGACCGAGCUAUGAGAUGGUUUCAAAAACGUCCGGGCGGAGUUGUCCGCUCCGGAUCUAAGUGGGUUUACAUUCGUUCGCCUGGUUAAGCCCGAGUAUGUUCCGUGUCGUUAUUCAUUUUAAUGCACUGUGGCUUAUAAAAAAUCGUACUCAGGUUUUAGCGCAGAAAGUCUUGCACAUAUUUUAUAUUUGCAGACAGGGGGGAAAAAUGACUGGAAAAGCAGAAUAAAACUAUUCACACUGUAAUUAAAGAACUCCGAAAGGAGCUGCACAAGGUUUUGGUUUAAUCAACCUUUCAUUAAGUGGGACCUGAGAGCAAGCUGACAUAGUAAAAAAAUGCAAUUUGUUGCACACUUGCUGAUAAGGUCAACUCGUGUAAAUACUAGAGUGCCUUAUGGUCUUUUAAAAUAUUAUUUUACACCAUUUAGGGUGGGCAAUACAGCCUGAAAAUUAUAUUACAAUAUUUUAAGAUGAUGUGCAAUGAUAUUUCUCAUGAUAUAGAAAAAAUAGCGAGCUACAUUUCAGUGAUGCUUGCAGUCAGUGUAAGUAAAUAAGGGGGAUUUUCCUUUUUUUCCAGCGAGCUGCUGUCACUGAUGACACACCUCCUAAAUCAAAGUGUGAAUCUACUGAAACAAGGUGCCAGCAGCAGCAGCAUCAGCAUUACAGUGUGAUAGUAGUGGCACAGCAGUAUAUCCAGUGACAUGGCAGAAGUCAAAUGUAAGCACAAAAGUGUCCCAGCUAGCUUUUCCCUGGAAUUUUUAAGUAAAAAUAUAGAAUAACUGCUUAAAACUUUACUAUAUUGAGUUAACCUUAACUUUUUAACCAGCUGCUUAAAGCACUGAUUUUCCACCGUGUAACCACAUCAGUAAUUUCCAUCCACCGUUUGCUCUUCCUGCCAUAUGGAGUGCAACUAGCAGCCGGCGAUGCUUGGUUUGAGUCAUUUGUUUACUUUUGGGUUGCACAUCACCAGCUGCUAGUAUCUACUCCUUUGUAGCCCGGUUAUAGUUGACGAUGUUUUCAGCCUCGAGUGGAAAACUAGUUUGUUGUUUCCACCUUCGGCAGGAACAGUGUUCUUGUUUAUUUUGCAAAGCAUUGUGCUUUGUUGGAGGUUGCUAAAGUAGCUCGCCUUUUUAGGCGCAUGCCCGAGUUUGUCUCAUUAUUGUGUGCACUAAGAACGUGUGGCGUUGCUAUAACAGCAAUAUCACAAUGACGUGGACGAUGUGAUACGGCACAGCCCUAUAUGUAGUUGGGGUUUUUUAGACUUGAGGUGCCUAAUUGUAAAAUUUUAAAGAUUUAAAUCCAUAAUUAAAGGCAAAAUUCAAAGAGACAGCUCAUAGCAUGCAGUGUAUGAGAUCCUUGUUUUGUUUCUCAUAACCCUCUCGGGCGCGCACACACAUACACUCUCCUU